UACGUAGGGUGCAAGCGUUGUCCGGAUUUAUUGGGCGUAAAGAGCUCGUAGGCGGUCUGUCACGUCGGCUGUGAAACCUCGGGGCUCAACCCCGAGCCUGCAGUCGAUACGGGCAGACUAGAGUUCGGCAGGGGAGACUGGAAUUCCUGGUGUAGCGGUGAAAUGCGCAGAUAUCAGGAGGAACACCGGUGGCGAAGGCGGGUCUCUGGGACGAUACUGACGCUGAGGAGCGAAAGCGUGGGGAGCGAACAGG
rnacentral:rRNA from 1 species